rnacentral:pre_miRNA from 1 species
GAGAUACUCCCUUCGUUUCAAAUUACUCGUUGCAGAAAUGAAUGUAUCUAGAACUAAAAUACAUCUAGAUACAUCCAUACCUGCGACAAGUAAUUCGGAACGGAGGGAGUACAUC